rnacentral:rRNA from 1 species
GAUGAACGCUGACAGAAUGCUUAACACAUGCAAGUCGACUCGAGUCUUCGGACUUGGGUGGCGGACGGGUGAGUAACGCGUAAAGAACUUGCCUCAUAGUUUGGGACAACAUUUGGAAACGAAUGCUAAUACCGGAUAUUAUGUUUUUCCCGCAUGGGAGGAACAUGAAAGCUAUAUGCGCUAUGAGAGAGCUUUGCGUCCCAUUAGCUAGUUGGUGAGGUAACGGCCCACCAAGGCGAUGAUGGGUAGCCGGCCUGAGAGGGUGAACGGCCACAAGGGGACUGAGACACGGCCCUUACUCCUACGGGAGGCAGCAGUGGGGAAUAUUGGACAAUGGACCACAAGUCUGAUCCAGCAAUUCUGUGUGCACGAUGACGUUUUUCGGAAUGUAAAGUGCUUUCAGUCGGGAAGAAGCAAGUGACGGUACCGACAGAAGAAGCGACGGCUAAAUACGUGCCAGCAGCCGCCGUAA